CCUACGGGGUGCUGCAGUGAGGAAUAUUGGUCAAUGGCCGGAAGGCUGAACCAGCCAUGACGCGUGAAGGUCAGUGCCCUAUGGGCGUUAAACUUCUUUUGUGCGGGAGCAAUAAUGGUCACGUGUGGCCAGACGAGAGUACCGUACGAAUAAGCAUCGGCUAACUCCGUGCCAGCAGCCGCGGUAAUACGGGGGAUGCAAGCGUUAUCCGGAUUUAUUGGGUUUAAAGGGUGCGUAGGCUGUGAGGUAAGUCAGCGGGGAAAUGCCCCCGCUCAACGGGGUGAAGUGCCAUUGAUACUGCCUUGCUGGAAUGCGGAUGCCGUGGGAGGAAUGUGUGGUGUAGCGGUGAAAUGCAUAGAUAUCACACAGAACACCGAUUGCGAAGGCAUCUCACGAAUCCGCGAUUGACGCUGAUGCACGAAAGCGUGGGUAUCAAACAGGAUUAGAUACCCUAGUAGUC
rnacentral:rRNA from 1 species